UACGGAGGGUGCAAGCGUUGUCCGGAUUUAUUGGGUUUAAAGGGUGCGUAGGCGGCCUAAUAAGUCAGUGGUGAAAGCCUCCAGCUUAACUGGAGAACUGCCAUUGAUACUGUUAGGCUUGAGUAUACUUGAGGUAGGCGGAAUUGACAGUGUAGCGGUGAAAUGCAUAGAUAUUGUCAAGAACACCAAUUGCGAAGGCAGCUUACUAAAUUAUAACUGACGCUGAGGCACGAAAGUGUGGGUAUCAAACAGG
rnacentral:rRNA from 2 species